GUGGGGAAUUUUGGACAAUGGGCGCAAGCCUGAUCCAGCCAUGCCGCGUGCAGGAUGAAGGCCUUCGGGUUGUAAACUGCUUUUGUACGGAACGAAAAAGCUCUCUCUAAUACAGGGGGUGAAUGACGGUACCGUAAGAAUAAGCACCGGCUAACUACGUGCCAGCAGCCGCGGUAAUACGUAGGGUGCAAGCGUUAAUCGGAAUUACUGGGCGUAAAGCGUGCGCAGGCGGGUAUGUAAGACAGAGGGGAAAUCCCCGGGCUCAACCUGGGAACUGCCUUUGUGACUGCAUAGCUGGAGUGCGGCAGAGGGGGAUGGAAUUCCGCGUGUAGCAGUGAAAUGCGUAGAUAUGCGGAGGAACACCGAUGGCGAAGGCAAUCCCCUGGGCCUGCACUGACGCUCAUGCACGAAAGCGUGGGGAGCAAACAGGAUUAGAUACCCCAGUAGUCC
rnacentral:rRNA from 1 species